CGGAGGUGGGAAGGCAGGUGAAGAAAUCUCUCUCUAGAGUCUUUAGUUCCUCCAGCCACUUAGACCUCAGAGCUAUGCCCUCUAACCCCUAAGGAAUACCUCAGGAAGGAGAAUGUCUAAACUUGGCUUUGGCUUCUUGGAUUGUGCAGUUUGGAACAAACCUUGAGAUUCACAGACAGACGGUGGCCUUGGAUGUUCUCAACAGGAACCAGGAAACGCCUGAUUAAAACAAAUCCAAAAAGCCCAUCUGUGCUCGGCUGAGGUAGAGCACACCUGAAAUCCUAGCAUUCACUGAGAGGCCAAGAGAAAAUCCAGAGACCGCUCACUCAACACCGCAAGUGGAACGAAACGAAAGAAGGCAAUGGAGUGUCUAAAUUUAAAGUGCUGGAAAAUCCAACAUUUUAUUCACUACAUUUCGGUGACUACACAAAUGCGGAAACAUCGUAACACUGGGAGCGUGAUGACAUCACCACUUGCUUUUUUUUUUUUUGUCUUUUUCUUUUUCUUUUUCUUUAGCAAACACAGCAGAUGAUAUUGCACGGCAUAAAGUGAGAACAGUAUCGAAGCUCAAAAAAGGAAAAGAAAAAAAGGGGGAAAAAAAAGGAAGAGGAAAGAAAGAAACGUUAACGCAGUACAAACCAGAAGAAUGCCUAACACACGACACAUUUUUGUCGCUACGCACGAAAAAUACAGAAGAAGCAUCGACAGAGAAAGACGAGGUAUCGGCAAACGACCAUACUGGGUACAAUAAUAAUUUCAUCUGAUGUGUUGAUGCAGUGUAGAAACUACCACCAUUUUCUAAUUGACAAAGAAAAGGACAGUAACGUUUGUCUCUUAUCAGAAAUCUUCUAAGCCCCUCGUGGUUAGGUGUGUAGUUAAUGAAUCAUGUAUUUACCUUUUCGUUGAUUUCUUUAUUUGUUGCUACGGAAGAACUCCCCCUGCCCUUGGAAGGUUUUCUAUCCUACUGAUCUUUUCUUUAAUUUUUUUUACCUGAUGAUUGUCUUAGGCAUCCUCCUUACAUAACGAAUCAUCAAGCUAACUUGAACAGGGAAACUGAGUCACACUCUUAAAAUAGCUGAGCUCAAAAAUGUGCUGAAAACAGAAAAGGGGGCGGGGAGGGACAGGUCUUAGUGAGUGACAGACGGGCUGGUUCUGACUGGACAGCAAAAGAGGAGGGCGAGGCAUAGGACAACAACUAGCAAAACAAGUGGAAGGUGAUGUUUUAAAGUUUAUUAUUACUUUUUUAGACUGUCAGUUGGUUCAGAUGGCAAAUCUAAAAUGAGCCCACAAUGAUUAUGUAAUAAAUGCAGAACAUACUAUAUAUAUAUUUAAAAAAAAAAAAACCUUUCAACACUAACACAGAAGUAGAAAAUGUGACCUUGUAAAGAAUUCUGCUUUGAGCUUCAUUGCCAAUCGUUUCUCUCAAAGCCUUUCCUCAGCUCCCUGACUCGGCUCAGGGCAGACUUAUUACCCUAUUCCCAUAUAUAAUCAGUAUAAAAUUGUUCCUGUUGACCCAAAACCUACACCCCCCUCCCUUCUCCUUUCCCACCCCAAACACGCCUGUAAAAGUGUAGAAGGGCAAAUGCCUGUGUUGAGAGGAAUGGUGUAUACAUCGAUGGGUCUAUGCAGCUUAGGCCAGUAAUGCUGAGAGGUGGCUCCUGGAAGGUGGCCCUGGUCCUUGAGGGUCCUGUGUGUGCUGAUCAAGAACCGGACCUGCCUGGCCAAGGCUCAUGUCUGUCUGUGAGGUGGAGAGUGAGAAGACACACAUUCAAAUAGCUCUGGGAUGCACUAUUUCUCCCCAAGACCAUUAGAGUCCUUCCCAUUUGGGUAAGGCAAGGAUGGGGCAGCUAUGGGGAGCAGAGGUGUGCUGUUCUUAAGCGUAUUUCCUGGAUCAGGGUGAUCAUUGAGCUAAGUGAAUUUCUUUUGCUUCUUGCCUGUGCUGCUGGGGACUGGUGGGAGUGUCCAGUCCCGUCUUUCUUUCAAAGACAGCUUGGUGGAUAGGCUGCCUUCCACCCGGAAAUGCAGAAACAAGGACGGUUGAGAAGUGUUUCCAGAUUCAAGUUAGCUUGUCUCUUUGGGUUUUUAGACUUUGACUUCUACCCAUGCUUGGAGAGUUAAAAAACAAACAAAUAAAAGCAGUGGUGGAACAAAAUAUCCCACAAACACAGGUGCAGUGAGACACUUGGGAAAAGGUCUUAACCAGUUUGAAAUGUCAGGUCUUACCUGCAAAGUGAUAUUUUUUUUCCCUAAAAAAACCCCACAUAAUAAUAAAUUAAAGGAAAACCACA